GAUGAACGCUAGCGGCAGGCUUAAUACAUGCAAGUCAAGGGGGUAGCAAUACAACCGGCGCACGGGUGAGUAACGCGUACACAACAUACCAUAUACUGGAGUAUAGCUUUGGGAAACUGAAGGUAAUCCUCCAUAACAUUGCGAGAGGGCAUCUGAUUGCAAUUAAAGUUCCGGCGGUAUAUGAUUGGUGUGCGUUUGAUUAGCUAGUUGGUAGGGUAACGGCCUACCAAGGCGACGAUCAAUAGCUGGCGUGAGAGCGCGACCAGCCACACUGGAACUGAGACACGGUCCAGACUCCUACGGGAGGCAGCAGUAGGGAAUAUUGGAUAAUGGGCGAAAGCCUGAUCCAGCCAUGCCGCGUGAUAGAUGAAGGCCCUCUGGGUUGUAAAUAUCUUUUAUCUGGGAAGAAACUCCUCUAUUCUUAGAGGCCUGACGGUACCAGAGGAAUAAGCACCGGCUAACUCCGUGCCAGCAGCCGCGG
rnacentral:rRNA from 1 species